AUCACCACAGUCUUAUUGAAAAGGAGGCAAAGAGGGAGGAGAGGUCACAGCAAACAUGAUCUGUAGAGAGCAGAGAGGCUCUCCAUGUCCCUGUUUGUAAAGAAGGAGCAGAGCAACCCAAAGCUCCUUCUACACCUCUUUACUACCACGUCCUCUACCGAAGACGUGGAGAAACCCAGGUAAGCUGGCACGGAGAAACAUACUGCCUGAUUGGUAACUACCGUUCUUAUGGGGAUGCUGCCAUCACCACCCCAGUAAAGGUUAAAGAAGAGAAACCAGCAUCCAAGUGGCCCUAUGAGGAUGCUUCCAUGGUUAGUCCAGUAAUGACCAAACCCAAGAAGCCAGCAUCCGUACACGCUCUCAAAAGACCUCGAUUUAUGGAAGAAUAUAACCAACAGUCAGAGUUCCCUAGCCCCAAAAUUCGCCACUUGAACACUGCUGACAAGACUGAAGAAUGGCUGAGCAAUUCUUUUGAGAAGAUGGACAUUAGAUAAAAGAGCUAAUACUUCUUAUUCAGUGACCUCCACUGCCUUCUUCUGGACUUUUUUUUUGGGUACUGGGAAUCGAACUCACAACCUUGCGCUUGCCAGGCAAGUGCUGCACCACUGAGCUAUAUCCUCAGCCCCACUGCCUUCUUCUGGAGAUAGAAACUAGAAAUUCUCCCUGAUCCCAAUUCAGUCAGGAUCUUUCUUUCCUACUAACAGCUAUAGGAAAGAUCCAGAAAUGGUGGUUGAAAGGAGGAGCUGCUUUGGACAUCCAGGGCUUAACCUGCUAGAAACACUAAUGUUCCUCCUCUCAAUCCUCCAAAGUUCCUUCUGGUACAGAAGUAACCAUGUGUGCAUUCUACAAGCCAAGGAGGAGUCAAGCGCAAAGCAGCCUCGCUGACGCCUAAUCUGCCAGCUGGAUUCCUGACCUCAAGCAUUGCCAGCAACCACAACACAGGUAUUUUGUCCCAGCAACAAGAGAAAAGUAACCAAGACACCCUCUUUCUUGCUAGCACUUAAUGUCUCCUGAGGAGUCCUACUGUUGAAUAAAAUGAC